CCUUCGAUAGCUCAGUUGGUAGAGCGGUGGACUGUAGAAAAUGUGAAGGGUAGGUGAUUUGAUACAAAUGCACCAUAAAAUGCAUCAUCUGAUCACUUUCAAACGAUGAUAUAGAAAUCCAUAGGUCACUGGUUCAAAUCCGGUUCGAAGGA
rnacentral:tRNA from 1 species